rnacentral:rRNA from 1 species
UACAGAGGUCUCAAGCGUUGUUCGGAUUCAUUGGGCGUAAAGGGGUGCGUAGGCGGCGCGGUAAGUCGGGGUGUGAAAUUUCGAGGCUUAACUUCGAAACUGCAUUCGAUACUGCCGUGCUUGAGGACUGGAGAGGAGACUGGAAUUUACGGUGUAGCGGUGAAAUGCGUAGAUAUCAGGAGGAACACCGGUGGCGAAGGCGGGGUCUCUGGGGCCGAACAUUGACGCUGAGGAGCGAAAGCGUGGGGAGCGAACAGG